rnacentral:rRNA from 1 species
CCUACGGGUGGCAGCAGUGAGGAAUAUUGGUCAAUGGACGAGAGUCUGAACCAGCCACGUAGCGUGAAGGAUGACUGCCCUAUGGGUUGUAACCUUCUUUUAUAAAGGAAUAAAACGAGGCACGUGUGCCUUUUUGCAUGUACUUUAUGAAUAAGGAUCGGCUAACUCCGUGCCAGCAGCCGCGGUAAUACGUAGGAUCCAAGCGUUGUCCGGAUUUAUUGGGGUUAAAGGGAGAGUAGAUGGGAAGUUAAGUCAGUUGUGAAAGUUUGCGGCUAAACUGUAAAAUUGCAAUUGAUACUGGCAGUCUUGAGUACAGUCGAGGUAGGCGGAAUUCGUGGUGUAGCGGUGAAAUGCGUAGAUAUCACGAAGAACCCCGAUUGCGAAGGCAGCUUACUAAACUGUGACUGACAUUGAUGCUCGAAAGUGUGGGUAUCAAACAGGAUUAGAUACCCUAGUAGUC